GACACUUCGAGAUAGCGGAACCGCGGCGUUGGUAGACCGCGGCGAAAGGGACUGAAAUAUAGUAGGGAAGUCCGUGAUGCUCGGAGGCGAGAAAAGCUCUAAGGAAUGCUAAGGUGCCCGUACCGCAAACCGACACAGGUAGAUGAGGAGAGAAUCCUAAGGCCAACGGGAGAAGGGUUGUCAAGGAACUCGGCAAGUUGACCCCGUAACUUCGGAAGAAGGGGAGCCUCGAAAGAGGCCGCAGUGAAUAGGCCCAGGCAACUGUUUACCAAAAACACAGGUCUAUGCUAAGUCGAAAGAUGACGUAUAUGGGCUGACGCCUGCCCGGUGCCGGAAGGUUAAGAGGAGAUGUCAGGCAACGAAGCAUCGAAUUGAAGCCCCGGUAAACGGCGGCCGUAACUAUAACGGUCCUAAGGUAGCGAAAUUCCUUGUCAGGUAAGUUCUGACCCGCACGAAUGGCGUAAUGAUCUGGGCACUGUCUCGACAGCCCACCCGGCGAAAUUGUAGUACUGGUGAAGAUGCCAGUUACCCGCAACUAGACGGAAAGACCCCAUGGAGCUUUACUGCAGCUUAAUACUGGAAAUCGGUAAUUCAUGUACAGGAUAGGUGGGAGACGGAGAAGCAUGGUCGUCAGGUCAUGUGGAGUCGCCCUUGGGAUACCACUCUUGGAUUGCUGGUUUUCUAACCUGCGGCCGUGAAUCCGGUCGGGGGACACUGUUAGGCGGGCAGUUUGACUGGGGCGGUCGCCUCCAAAAAGGUAACGGAGGCGCUCAAAGGUUCGUUCAGCACGGACGGAAAUCGUGCAUUGAGUGUAAACGCAUAAACGAGCCUAACUGCGAGACCGACGGGUCGAGCAGUAACGAAAGUUGGAGUUAGUGAUCCGGUGGUAUGUGAGUGGAAAUGCCAUCGCUCAACGGAUAAAAGCUACCCUGGGAUAACAGGCUGAUCUCCCCCAAGCGUCCACAGCGACGGGGAGGUUUGGCACCUCGAUGUCGGCUCGUCGCAUCCUGGGGCUGAAUUCGGUCCCAAGGGUUUGGCUGUUCGCCAAUUAAAGCGGCACGCGAGCUGGGUUCAGAACGUCGUGAGACAGUUCGGUCCCUAUCUGUUGCGGGCGUAAGAGAUUUGAAGGGAGCUGUCCUUAGUACGAGAGGACCGGGAUGGACGUACCUCUGGUGCACCAGUUGUCCUGCCAAGGGCAUAGCUGGGUAGCUAUGUACGGACGAGAUAAACGCUGAAAGCAUCUAAGCGUGAAACUCCCCCUAAGAUGAGAUCUCUCAUUCGAAAGAAGUAAGGACCCAGAGAGACGAUCUGGUUGAUAGGCGCGAGGUGGAAGUGCAGUAAUGUAUGGAGCUGACGCGUACUAAUAGUCCGAGGGCUUGAUC
rnacentral:rRNA from 1 species